ensembl:lncRNA
CACUGCAGCAGGAACUUUUGUUUUAUGACCUCAAACAUUAGAUGUGAGGCUCAGAGGAAAAGUUUGGUUUACACCACAGCUACAGUUCAAUUCUGCAUUACAGACGAGGUCUAUAAUGCAUCAAACAUGGAGUACAUAAAACACAACAGAGAUCUGUUGGGAAAAGGUAACAACAUGGAGACUGAGGCUGCAGCAGGAGAUGAUAUAAUGGUGUUUUAUUUUGCAAUAUGUGAUCAGAACGCAAUGCAUGACUGACCGAAUUUGACGUGCAAGUAGAGCUGGGCGAUAUGAGAUUUUUUCAUAUCACGAUUUUUUUUUUUUCAUUUCAGGCGAUAACGAUACAUAUCACGAUAUAAGCCAAAUAACUAUAUUUGUAAGAUUUAAAUGUGCUGUUGCUCACAAGUAAAAUGUGAAAUAAUCAGCAGCUUGUUUUGAUUUAAAUAUUUAUUUCUCAUAAUAAGUUAAACAGGGUAGAUGUACUUAAGGAACAUGAGACUUUUUCAGAUAAAUAAAGGCAAAUAUUGCAAACUACACAAAAGGCAGCCGCUGAAGCGUUUGAGUUUCAAAAUAGAACAAACAAAACAGGCUACUAAAUUGUCAAUUCCACUUAGAAACAAAAUAUUAAUUCUAGAAAUAAAUAUUAGUUUGUUUUACAGAAGAACAGACAAAAUUGACUAACUUUUGUCAAUAUCAAAUAAACUGAGAACUAAAAGGAAAUUCUCAAUCUCUCCUUGUUGUAUAGCUUAGCUUUUCAAACAGUUUUAACAGUUACUUUAGUCUGACAAAAGCCGAAUGACGAAUUAGCGCUUCCAGUCAGAGAUUGAGCAUGCACCGCUUUAUUGUAUUUCCAGACUUGCUUUCGGCACAAUUUACAGUGAACGCUACUCUGUUUUUGUUAGACUUGAAAUAGCCGAAAUACCUUCACACUACAGAACUUCUAUGGCUCUUUCGUUUGACAAUCUCUCCAGCAUUGGAACCAUCAUCUGUUUUCUCUUCGGUAACCUUCGGUCACGCUCGGUUGAUUUUUCUCUAGUCGGCAGACUCAUUUCCUCCAUUACCCAGGCGGCACGGCGGCUGGCUGCUUCCCAAAACAAAUACACAUGUGCGGCAUGGCACUUGUGCUGUACGUAACAAGUCACGUGACGUGACACUGCGGCUGUGAUUGGUUUGGCUCUGCGCUACUUAAUUUGGAUUGGCUGUUUUUUGGGGGUUUUUUUUGUUUUUUUAAGAGGACAAGAGCGGUGAGGCCUAUCGCAAUAGUUUAAUUUUUCUAUCGAGAAAAAGUUAUUUCGCAAUACAUAUCGUUAUCCUUCUAUUGCCCAGCUCUACGUGCAAGUUUCAAAUGUUUUUAAUCAGCAGCUAUUGGAAACUCAAAAUGAAGUGAUUCGGGACAAUCAGGAGAGUUUAGUUCUCCUCUUAUCACUGCAUUCUGCUAAUUUUGCUUCACCUGUUACUUGUAGGGUUGCCAGCUUUCAGCACUGUUAUUCUUGUAAAUGUGCUUCUUUAUACUUCUUUUUCCCUGGAUUUAAAUGAAAAACUAACACAACAAACAUUUACUUACAGACCCUGACAUUUGCAUAGUAAAAUUUGCAUCAUCUGAGUGGUUCUGUGUCACCUUAUCAAAGUAAAUAAGUGACUACCUAAGUUUGACUAGAAAAACGAUAUUAAAUGUCUGGUUUCCCUUUUAUAUAUGUAGUUAAGAUCACCGAACGGUAGUUUAUGUAAAGGUCCUCAUUGAUCUUUCUCCAGUCCCAAUGUAUUUAG